rnacentral:rRNA from 1 species
GACGAACGCUGGCGGCGUGCUUAACACAUGCAAGUCGAACGGUAAGGCCCUUCGGGGUACACGAGUGGCGAACGGGUGAGUAACACGUGGGUGGUCUGCCCUGCACUUCGGGAUAAGCCUGGGAAACUGGGUCUAAUACCGGAUAGGACUCCUGGCUUCAUGGUUGGGGGUGUAAAGCUUUUGCGGUGUGGGAUGGGCCCGCGGCCUAUCAGCUUGUUGGUGGGGUAAUGGCCUACCCAAGGCGACGACGGGUAGCCGGCCUGAGAGGGUGACCGGCCACACUGGGACUGAGAUACGGCCCAGACUCCUACGGGAGGCAGCAGUGGGGAAUAUUGCACAAUGGGCGCAAGCCUGAUGCAGCGACGCCGCGUGAGGGAUGACGGCCUUCGGGUUGUAAACCUCUUUCAAUAGGACGAAGACGCAAGUGACGGUACCUAUAGAAGAAGG